rnacentral:rRNA from 1 species
AGUGAACGCUGGCGGUAGGCCUAACACAUGCAAGUCGAACGGCAGCACAGUAAGAGCUUGCUCUUACGGGUGGCGAGUGGCGGACGGGUGAGGAAUACAUCGGAAUCUACUUUUUCGUGGGGGAUAACGUAGGGAAACUUACGCUAAUACCGCAUACGACCUACGGGUGAAAGCAGGGGAUCUUCGGACCUUGCGCGAUUGAAUGAGCCGAUGUCGGAUUAGCUAGUUGGCGGGGUAAAGGCCCACCAAGGCGACGAUCCGUAGCUGGUCUGAGAGGAUGAUCAGCCACACUGGAACUGAGACACGGUCCAGACUCCUACGGGAGGCAGCAGUGGGGAAUAUUGGACAAUGGGCGCAAGCCUGAUCCAGCCAUACCGCGUGGGUGAAGAAGGCCUGCGGGUUGUAAAGCCCUUUUGUUGGGAAAGAAAAGCAGCAGGUUAAUACCCCGCUGUUCUGACGGUACCCAAAGAAUAAGCACCGGCUAACUUC